rnacentral:rRNA from 1 species
UGGGGAAUAUUGCACAAUGGGGGAAACCCUGAUGCAGCGACGCCGCGUGAGCGAAGAAGGCUUUCGAGUCGUAAAGCUCUGUCCUAUGAGAAGAUAAUGACGGUAUCAUAGGAGGAAGCCCUGGCUAAAUACGUGCCAGCAGCCGCGGUAAUACGUAUGGGGCGAGCGUUGUCCGGAAUUAUUGGGCGUAAAGGGUACGUAGGCGGUUUUUUAAGUCAGGUGUCAAAGCGUGGAGCUUAACUCCAUUAAGCACUUGAAACUGAAAGACUUGAGUGAAGGAGAGGAAAGUGGAAUUCCUAGUGUAGCGGUGAAAUGCGUAGAUAUUAGGAGGAAUACCGGUGGCGAAGGCGACUUUCUGGCCUUUUACUGACGCUCAGGUACGAAAGCGUGGGGAGCAAACAGG